CAACAAAAAACAUGCUUGUUGAUGAACAAGUAGCAAUAUUUUUGCAUAUUCUUGCUCACCAUGUUAAAAACCGAGUCAUUAGACAAAAUUUUAGAAGAUCGGGUGAGAGCAUUAGCCGAAUAUGUUGUAUGGUUGACCUCCAUAAUUUAGGAACAAAGAAUGCUGAUACUAGAUUCAAAGGUGGGUAUUUGCAUGAGCUGGAGAGGAUGCUAAAAGCUAAAAUACCGACUUCGGAUAUAAAAGCUAAACCUCAUAUUGAGUCAAGGAUAAGUACAUUGAAAAAAGACUGGAGGGUAGUACAUGAUCUUUUCACUAGUAAUAACAAUGGCUUUGGAUGGGAUGAAGAAAGAAAGAUGGUCACAGCUGAAGACUAUGUGUGAGAUUCUUAUAUAACUACUCACAGAGAAGCUGCUCAGUUCAAAAGGAAAAGUUUUUCUUUCUAUCAUGAAUUCAGUUCUAUCUAUGCAAAAGAUCGUGCAACAGGGAGGGAUGUACAAACUGGAAAGAUAUUAUUGAAGAAAUGACUAAUGAGGAAGGCAUUGGUGGGAUCAAUCUAGCUAGUGAAGAUGAAGAUGUUGGUGAUGAAGAUAUGUCAAAUA